CCUACGGGUGGCAGCAGUGAGGAAUAUUGGUCAAUGGCCGUAAGGCUGAACCAGCCAAGUCGCGUGAAGGAAGAAGGAUCUAUGGUUUGUAAACUUCUUUUAUAGGGGAAUAAAGGUAUCCACGUGUGGAUAUUUGCAUGUACCCUAUGAAUCAGCAUCGGCUAACUCCGUGCCAGCAGCCGCGGUAAUACGGAGGAUGCGAGCGUUAUCCGGAUUUAUUGGGUUUAAAGGGUGAGUAGGUCGUUUUUUAAGUCAGCGGUGAAAGGUUGUGGCUAAACCAUAAAAUUGCCGUUGAAACUGGAAGACUGGAGUGUGUUUGAGGUAGGCGGAAUGCGUGGGGUAGCGGUGAAAUGCAUAGAUAUCACGCAGAACUCCGAUUGCGAAGGCAGCUUACUAAGCCAUAACUGACACUGAAGCACGAAAGCGUGGGGAUCAAACAGGAUUAGAUACCCCAGUAGUC
rnacentral:rRNA from 1 species